UGCUCAAACUCUCUCUCUCUCUCUCUCUCUCUCUCUCUCUCUCUCUCUCUCUUCGAGGUUCUGUUCUUGUUGCUCACAUUGCAUAUAUAUAUAUAUAUAUAUACAGAUAUAGAUAUAUAAUCUAAAAACCAAGCAUGCAAGAAUCAACUAUUGUAUAGAACAUCUUGUCGAAUCGAUUCUAAUAGGCCGAUUUGCUAUAGGAUUUUUCGGCACCGAUGGAGCAGAUUUUGGAUAGACUGCAGGCAUUUGGUGAAUUUGAGUUCAAACAUUUUGGGGACAAGGUUAUUGUUGAGGAACAAAUAGAGAGGUACAUUUCAAUGCAGUUUGGUGAAACAGAUAUGUGCAAUUCUACUGUAUAGUCUGUUUUUAGUGGUGUAUAAUGUUGCUUAGUUAGAGAUAUUGCUCUUUGAUUGUUUUUGAA